CCUACGGGUGGCUGCAGUAGGGAAUCUUCCACAAUGGGCGAAAGCCUGAUGGAGCAACGCCGCGUGGGUGAAGAAGGUCUUCGGAUCGUAAAACUCUGUUGUCAGAGAAGAAAGUGCGUGAGAGUAACUGUUAACGUUCCGAUGGUAACUAACCAGCAAGCGACGGCUAACUACGUGCCAGCAGCCGCUGUAAUACGUAGGUGGCAAGCGUUAUCCGGAUUUAUUGGGCGUAAAGGGAACGCAGGCGGUCUUUUAAGUCUGAUGUGAAAGCCUUCGGCUUAACCGGAGUAGUGCAUUGGAAACUGGGAGACUUGAGUGCAGAAGAGGAGAGUGGAACUCCAGGUGUAGCGGUGAAAUGCGUAGAGAUAUGGAAGAACACCAGUGGCGAAAGCGGCUCUCUGGUCUGUAACUGACGCUGAGGUUCGAAAGCGUGGGUAGCAAACAGGAUUAGAUACCCGAGUAGUC
rnacentral:rRNA from 1 species